AUCGUUCUUCCUUUAACUCUAAAACUAUGGCUUCAAACAAAAACCAACCUUCAAAUAUUAUAAGACCAAAAAAUUUCUAACAUCUACCUCAGUCGAAAAUGGGAUGAACAUUUACGAACUACAGACCCAUCCCUACCCACGAGUUUUAAUGGAGCCACAAACCUUAAAUACAACAUCAAGUUUUUGGAAUCUUAAAUACAUCCCAUACCAACAUCAAUAGUCAUCUAGCUUAAAAUAAACACAAAACAGGUGCAAGCAAAAAUCUCUCGAAGAGUAGAAAAGAGCAAACCCUAACGUGAAGGCGAAUGGGUCUCGUGAAAACCUUGGGAAUCCGGCAAAAUUCCGGCGGUGGUGAUGGCUUCAGAGUAACGAUGCGUAAAUCCGAGAGAGUCUUCAAUGCUUCAAUGCCCCCUUUUAUAGAGUCGAGUACGAGGUUCAUCGGUUCUCAUCCUUCAUGAACCCUUCCAGAUUUGGUGGUCCUCCAAAUUGAUGUGGUCCCCGAAAUGAAAGGAUAGGGUUUUGUCCGUAGUGAACAAAAAAACUAUGUGGUGCAUUGAGAUUUUUCUUUACUGCAGUAGAAACCUUAACUUAAUUUUUAUAUUUGUAAUCCUUUUAUAUGACUUGAACUUUCAAUUUUCAUUCAUAGUCGGGUAACUGGUAAUUCCUGUCUUGGCAGGUUUAUUCCUCCUGAAGUUUGCCUACUAUCAUUGGUCAUGGUUAUGCGCACAGCAGCAAUGCUUCUACCUGACUUAAGUUUUUGCCUUGAGGUCUAACUGAUUGUGACCUGUUUUCCAUACGAUAUGCACAACACGAAACAAAACUUCAGCAUACGUAUCUGUUCUUGGAAACAAUGUCCAUAUUUGCUUGAUAGAGUCAUGGAAAUUGCAGGGUUAAAAUCAACUUAUAGGAUGCAUAGGUCCAUAUUUGGUGUAUUGGAUUGAUUCGAUUUAGGUGAGUGGAUUAUGGCUGCAAGAUGGUUAAUGCAGGUCUCGCUGCUGUAAGGGUUGAGGUCAUGGUGAUGGCAGAUUCAUGAUGCUUGGCAUGGCUUUGUUGUUGUAAUGAUUCUAUGCUGAUGUAGAGUAGCAGCAUUUUGUUCUGAUUGGCCUCAGGUGAUGCUUGUUACAUGGUUCACAUCGGAGGUGUGUUGCGCAACAGGAUUGUUACUUACCAUGGUUUGGUCGUCUCCUUGCUAAUACUCUUGGCGUGACGGUUUGUUUUUGAAAUAACCGCGCUAUCAGGAUUGGAAAUUGGAGUAUUCACACACCAAUGGUUCAACCAAAAAUCAAAGCAGAGCUUGAGGAUGUGAUUAAGAUUAGGAUGAAUUUAUGUCUUUUUUUGGUUAAACUUUGUAAUUUUGCUUCAAACAAUAUGCCCCUUUUUUAUGGGUUGUAAUAGAUGUUAUACGCGUAUUCGAAUGAAAUUUAUGGCUCUUGCAUCGAA